UCCUACGGACGCAGCAGUGGGGAAUAUUGCACAAUGGGGGAAACCCUGAUGCAGCGGCGCCGCGUGAAGGAAGAAGUAUUUCGGUAUGUAAACUUCUAUCAGCAGGGAAGAAAAUGACGGUACCUGACUAAGAAGCCCCGGCUAACUACGUGCCAGCAGCCGCGGUAAUACGUAGGGGGCAAGCGUUAUCCGGAUUUACUGGGUGUAAAGGGAGCGUAGGCGGCGAUGCAAGUCGGAAGUGAAAGCCCAGGGCUCAACCCUGGGACUGCUUUGGAAACUGUGGAGCUAGAGUGCUGGAGAGGUAA
rnacentral:rRNA from 1 species